rnacentral:rRNA from 1 species
AACGCGAAGAACCUUACCAAGGCUUGACAUAAUAGUGAAUAUGGCAGAGAUGUCAUAGUCCUUCGGGACACUAUUACAGGUGGUGCAUGGUUGUCGUCAGCUCGUGUCGUGAGAUGUUGGGUUAAGUCCCGCAACGAGCGCAACCCCUGUUGUUAGUUGAUAACAUUAAGAUGAUCACUCUAACGAGACUGCCGGUGAUAAAUCGGAGGAAGGUGGGGACGACGUCAAAUCAUCAUGCCCCUUAUGUCUUGGGCUACACACGUACUACAAUGGCUAUUACAGAGGGAAGCAAGACCGUAAGGUGGAGCAAAUCCCCAAAAAUAGUCCCAGUUCAGAUUGUGGGCUGCAACCCGCCCACAUGAAGUCGGAAUUGCUAGUAAUGGCAGGUCAGCAUACUGCCGUGAAUACGUUCCCGGGCCUUGUACACACCG